CCUCCAGGCUCUAUGACCCUGGCUUUGAGGUCUGAGAACAGAACUUUGAUUCAGACCUGUAGCCCCUCCCCAAAACUACUGAAAUAUAUGUGCUAGUAUUUUUUAAAAAAAUGUUUGAAGUGCUUUUUAUUUAAAUAUGGCCUAACAGAAAAUGUGACUUCCUUUUAUGUGGAACCAGAUCAUCAGAAGUAAUGGGAAAAUGGUAAUAAAUUAUAUAAGCUUGGAGCUUUGAGUACUUUUGCGGAAUAUAAUUGAGUGUUUUCCCUAGAAUUUCAUUCAAAGCAACCAUUGACACCACCACACUGUUGGCCUACCUUACCAAGAACGGCACCGUCCACAGUGAGCUGGGCUCUCUCAUAUCAGUCAUCAAUCAAGCAAAUGUCCCACUGACAAGC
rnacentral:lncRNA from 1 species